AGUGACCAUGAUGAAAUUAGCACAGUGGCUUUGGGGACUGGCACUCCUGGGCUCCACCUGGGUGGACCGGACCAUGGGACCCCUAGGCCUGGAGCUGCCCUCAUCCUGCUGGGAGGUCCUGUGGCAACUGCCUGCCUGCUUGCUGGUGUCUGCCAGCUGCUGUACCCUGGGUGCUGGGUGCUAUCAUGUGACCACUUUCCACAAUUGCUGAGAAGGCUGCAUUCAAACUGCAGAACAGAUCCAGGAGGCCCCAGAUGACUCAGCCCUCAGGGGG
rnacentral:lncRNA from 1 species